rnacentral:rRNA from 1 species
AGAGUUUGAUCCUGGCUCAGAACGAACGCUGGCGGCGUGGAUAAGACAUGCAAGUCGAGCGCUGAUUUGAGGGUAGCAAUAUUUUCAAAUCGGAGCGGCGCAAGGGUGCGUAACACGUGGGAAUCUGCCUUGAAGUGUGGGAUAACUCCGAGAAAUCGGAGCUAAUACCGCAUGUGAUUGUAAAUUCAAAGUUGGGGACCGCAAGGCCUGACGCUUCACGAUGAGCCCGCGGCCUAUCAGCUAGUUGGUGAGGUAACGGCUCACCAAGGCUAAGACGGGUAGCUGGUCUGAGAGGACGACCAGCCACACUGGAACUGAGACACGGUCCAGACACCUACGGGUGGCAGCAGUCGAGAAUUUUUCUCAAUGGGCGAAAGCCUGAAGGAGCGACGCCGCGUGGGGGAUGAAUGGCUUCGGCCCGUAAACCCCUGUCAUUUGUGAACAAAUUGUUUCACCUAACACGUGAAGCAUUGAUUGUAACGGAAGAGGAAGGGACGGCUAACUCUGUGCCAGCAGCCGCGGUAAUACAGAGGUCCCAAGCGUUGUUCGGAUUCACUGGGCGUAAAGGGUGCGUAGGCGGCCAAGUAAGUUUGAUGUGAAAUCCCGCAGCUUAACUGCGGAACUGCAUUGAAUACUAUUUGGCUCGAGGAAUGGAGGGGAGACUGGAAUUCUCGGUGUAGCAGUGAAAUGCGUAGAUAUCGAGAGGAACACCAGUGGCGAAGGCGAGUCUCUAGACAUUUCCUGACGCUGAGGCACGAAAGCCAGGGGAGCAAACGGGAUUAGAUACCCUAGUAGUCC